UACGGAGGGGGCAAGCGUUGUUCGGAUUUACUGGGCGUAAAGCGCGUGUAGGCGGUUUGGUAAGUUACUUGUGAAAUCUUCGGGCUUAACUCGAAGCGGCCAAGUAAUACUGCCGAACUAGAGUGCAGAAGGGGCAACUGGAAUUCUUGGUGUAGCGGUGAAAUGCGUAGAUAUCAAGAGGAACACCUGAGGCGAAGGCGGGUUGCUGGGCUGACACUGACGCUGAGACGCGAAAGCUAGGGGAGCAAACAGG
rnacentral:rRNA from 1 species